CGUUGAAAAUGUAUUUCACCUCACCGGAGGCUUAAUUCUAGACUAGAGCAUUUUGUUCCAGUAAAAAUUUAGCAACUUCAAUUGCUUUUUGUUUUCCUCUUUUACCCAUAUAUUCUUCAGUUGCAUUCUUCAGGCUUUUCUAAUGUUUGGUUACCCUUCUUCUCCCCUUUCCCCUUCCCAUUGGGCUGCAAAUCAGUUUGGUCAAGGACUUCUUCUGGUUCCUCCUUCAUCCAGGCAAAUCUACCAUGAAUUCUUCGUUGGGUCUUGGCUUAAGGCGAUGGUCGUUCUUUGAUUUCUAAUAAUUUUCAGUCAUAACAAUUUUCCUUUCAUUGUUUCUUAUUUUCGAGCAUCUUUCUCCAUACAAGAAUAUUGAGGAGCAAAAGUUCUUGAUCGGAGUUGUUCUUAUGAUUCCUUGCUAUUCUGUAGAAUUGCAUAUCGAAGACUUGACUCAGGAAAAGUUUUCACUGUAACGAGCUCUUGAGGCCUCACGUACAUUAGCAGAAUCUUUGGCUGCUGAAAAUUCAUCUUUGAUUGAUAGUUAUAACCAACAGAGAAGCAUUGUCAACCGGCUAAGAUCUGACAUGGAGAGCUUACAAGAAGAAAUCAAGGCCCAACUGGUUAGUAUCUACUAUAUUUAGAGCUCGAGUCUUUUAAAAUGGAAUAUGCAAAUGCACGACUAGAAUGUAAUGCAGCUGAUGAACGUGCUAAUAUAUUGGCUUCUGAAGUCAUUGGUUUGGAAGAGAAGGUAACAAAGUUUUAAUGGGUAAAGGUUUUCUUCCUUCUCCAAUUUCAUUCUAUUCAUUACAGAACAUAUAUCACUCUUGAUAAUAAUGCUGAAAGAUCAGUAAGCUGCCAUGUUCGUAUAUGCAUGGUUGUAAUAUAUACCACGUGAAGGGUGUUUCUUGGACGUAUAGUAGAGCUGCAACGUUUUUAAGUGCCAGUUUAACUUAAGUGGCUCUCUAGUCCUUUUUUAUAUUUGAUUUGAUCCUGUUAUUUGCUUGUUUUAUAUGAUAUUAUUAGCAUUUGGAGUUUCUUACUUUAUUCCAUUGAAUAUAUUUCUAAGGCCAAGUUUCAUUUCUGAACUUCUGGUGCUAGCAGAAAAGGUUAGAUCCUCCUGCAUGUUCUUGUUAUUUGUAUUCCAUAGAGAUUGGAUCUAUAAAGUUGCUCUCUCUCUAUUUGCAAUGCAAAGUAAACUGCAGUGGAGCAUUUCUACUAUCUUCGAGUGGAGGAUGCUUGUAUAUAUCUUGGAUUUUAUACCAUCCAUAUACUAUAAGGGCAUGGUUACAUUCUAGAAAUUCCUUCCAUUCUUCAAUUUUGGUUAUAAAUUAUAAGUACGAGGGUUCAAGAUAUUUAAAUGCACUAUUUUUUUAUCACCUGAUUUCUUGAAUUGUUUUGUAUGUUUGUUUUGUUUCAAGUUAGAUUCAUAUUUGAACCUACAAGAAAGGACCUCACUUUUUCUUAGCUUUACCAGUAAUUCAGUCUCAAAGGAUAAAAUAGUGUAGUAUUGUUAUAUGGUCUGUAUAGCUGACCUUCCAAUAGUUGGAAAAGGCUUACAUGUUAUAGUAAUCUGUAAUCCAAAUAUAAUUCCUUGCACCAAUAAUCUCAGUGAGAUUGUAUCUUAUACUUAUGUUGUUACGAAGCUGAUAUUACCGAUUUUAAAAAUGUUUCUGGCAUGUGAACAGGCCUCUGAGCACUUAUGGCUGAAUUUAAUGGUGCACCAGUCCCAUCUGAUUCACUCUCUUAGUAGCUUGUUAUUGAACAAAUGCAGGUAUUGUAGCAUAGCAAUUUCUUGAGACACUUGAAGUUAAAAGGGGUUGCAGUUUUGGGGUUUCCGACAUUAAUAAGGGUUGUUGUCCACAUUUUGUUUAUUUGUUUGGUUUUUCUUUUUCAGUUAAUCAGCAUGCUUGUAUUAAUCCAGAUGCAACAGUAGUUGGAUGAUGAAUGAUAUAAUUGACUCGUUCAAGCUUUUGAUGGUUUUUGAACCAUGAACAAUAAGAAAUGAAUCAGAUAUGUUGAUGAAGAA